UCUUCUUCUUCUUUAGCUAUGUGAUAAGUUGGUGUAAGGAGCCAGAAUGGAAAGGAAAAACCUAAAUGACAUGCAGUGAAGUAAUAUCAAAAGAUUAAUAAUUUUUUGAUAUUAAUGCGGAAUUGAUAUCAAAUCAAGUAGAAUGACGCAAAAAGAUCCAUAUAAUCAACUCUAAUUAGUUUGAAAUUAAGACUUAGUAGCUGUUUGUUAAUUUGUUGUAUAUCAGUACGCCAAAUGCAUGUUCAUAAUAUGCAUGCAACUUGAACACCAUAAAUUGAAAAAGAAAUAAUAAUUAAAAUCUACAGAUGUAAACUUGUGCAAAGAAGUAAAGAGAACCUAAUCUUCAAUUUGUUGUUGAAUGCUCUAUCCCCUCAAAUGCAUCACUUCCUCUCUAUUCCACAUGACACAAAAGCACUGCCUGAUGGACCUUCAUAGGUAGUAAAAAAGGAAGUAUAGAGGGGAAGAGGAGGAUUAUAGAAAGAAGCAACUAGGAAGGAGACCCUUCAUGUUUGGAUAACAAAGAAAAGGAAGAAUAGCAUCCAACAGAUUUUUGUUCCUAAAAGGACUAGAAGGGCUGCUCAAACUUGUUUUUAUUUAUUGGAAGAAAGGACAAAAUAAGCUUUCAACCAUUUCUAUACUUUCCCUUCCCAAUCUCUCCAAUUUGGUAGGAUUAGGAAUUGAAGGAUCCAUUGCAAGGAGCUUGUUCUUUUCCUUUCCUUCCAACCAAUCAAACGAUUGAAUCCUUCAUCUCACAUCUUUCCUUUUCCCUUUUCCUUUCCAUUCAUUCUUCUGCCCAACCAAACAUACUGUUAGGCGUGAUGCAUCACUAAAAUCAGCAGUCAGUCCAUUACCUUAUAACAUAAACUUAAACUUCACUAAAAUUAGUUGUCCUCAAGAAGAAAAAUCUACUAUUGCUAUGAUGUUGCCACAGAAUUUUACCAUAUGAUCACUUGAAUCACUUGAUACCACCUGUAAUAUGGGAUGAUGAUAAUGGUGAUGAUAAUAAUAAUGCAAUCAAAUUAUUCACGAGACAAACAGAUUGGAUUUCGUAUAUGCAUAUGAAGUAACCAGAAAUCCGCAAUAAAACCUUUAUCAACCUAUUUGUGAAGAAAUAGAGGGAAAAGGGGGAGGAAGGCAGGGCAGAUCAAUCUCUUUCAACCCGUAGAAAUAGAUUAGAACAGUAAUAGAAUAAAACGCCAAUAUGGUACAUACAACACAAAAUUCAUAAACUAUAGACAUAAACAAAUCAGUAAUCACUAAUCAAGCUUACAUUAAGUAUUGAAGGUUCAGGUAGUGGGCACUGAAUUGGUUGAUCACUGUCGAAAGGCUCAGUUGGGUGCUCAACUGGCUUAAACUCUACUGCUACUUCAAUCCCAUGAGGAGCAGAAGCAGCGCCAGUGGCUGCCCUGGUAAGGUCUGCAUUUGGGGGCAAUACUUCCCUCUCAU
rnacentral:misc_RNA from 1 species